rnacentral:rRNA from 1 species
CCUACGGGUGGCAGCAGUAGGGAAUCUUCCACAAUGGGCGAAAGCCUGAUGGAGCAACGCCGCGUGGGUGAAGAAGGUCUUCGGAUCGUAAAACCCUGUUGUUAGAGAAGAAAGUGCGUGAGAGUAACUGUUCACGUUUCGACGGUAUCUAACCAGAAAGCCACGGCUAACUACGUGCCAGCAGCCGCGGUAAUACGUAGGUGGCAAGAGUUGUCCGGAUUUAAUGGGCGUAAAGGGGACGCGGGCUGUGUUUUAAGCCUGAUGGGAAAGCCUUCGGCUUAACCGGAGUAGUGCAUGGGAAACUGGGAGACUUGAGUGCAGAAGAGGAGAGUGGAACUCCAUGUGUAGCGGUGAAAUGCGUAGAUAUAUGGAAGAACACCAGUGGCGAAAGCAGCUCUCUGGUCUGUAACUGACGCUGAGGUACGAAAGCGUGGGUAGCAAACAGGAUUAGAUACCCGAGUAGUC